AGAGUUUGAUCCUGGCUCAGGACGAACGCUGGCGGUGCGCCUUAUGCAUGCAAGUCGAGCGAAGCUUUUCAGUAGUUUACUACAGAAAAUGACUGAGCGGCGAACGGGUGAGUAACGCGUGAGCAAUCUACCUUAGUUACAGGGAUAGCCCGAGGAAACUCGGAUUAAUACCUGAUAUUCUUUAUUUCUCGCAUGAGAAUAAAAGGAAAGGUCAGCCGAACUAAGAUGAGCUCGCGUUCUAUCAGCUAGUUGGUGAGGUAAAAGCUUACCAAGGCUACGACGGAUAGCUGGUCUGAGAGGACGAUCAGCCACACUGGGACUGAGACACGGCCCAGACUCCUACGGGAGGCUGCAGCAGGGAAUAUUGUGCAAUGAACGAAAGUUUGACACAGCGACACCGCGUGUGGGAUGACGGAUCUAGGUUUGUAAACCACUUUCAGGAGGGAAGAAAAUGACGGUACCUCCACAAGAAGCCCCGGCCAACUACGUGCCAGCAGCCGCGGUAAUACGUAGGGGGCGAGCGUUGUCCGGAUUUAUUGGGCGUAAAGAGCUCGUAGGCGGUUCAACAAGUCGGUCGUGAAAGUUCAGGGCUCAACCCUGAAAUGUCGAUCGAUACUGUUGUGACUAGGAUACGGUAG
rnacentral:rRNA from 1 species